AUACAACAUGAUCGUCAGGGUAUCAUUUAAGAUACAAGAGGGAAUCCGGUGAAAUUCCGGGACGGGCCCGCCGCUGUAACCGGGGACGAAAGUCGUAAUUGCCACUGAAGAAUAUUCGGGAAGGCGCGAUGAGUAGAGAGAUCCGGAAGUCAGAAUACCUGCCUUGACAUUGUGACAGGA
rnacentral:ncRNA from 2 species